rnacentral:rRNA from 1 species
AGUGAACGCUGGCGGUAGGCCUAACACAUGCAAGUCGAAUGGCAGCACAGUAAGAGCUCGCUCUUACGGGUGGCGAGUGGCGGACGGGUGAGGAAUACAUCGGAAUCUACUUUUUCGUGGGGGAUAACGUAGGGAAACUUACGCUAAUACCGCAUACGACCUACGGGUGAAAGCAGUGGAUCUUCGGACCUUUCGCGAUUGAAUGAGCCGAUGUCGGAUUAGCUAGUUGGCGGGGUAAAGGCCCACCAAGGCGACGAUCCGUAGCUGGUCUGAGAGGAUGAUCAGCCACACUGGAACUGAGACACGGUCCAGACUCCUACGGGAGGCAGCAGUGGGGAAUAUUGGACAAUGGGCGCAAGCCUGAUCCAGCCAUACCGCGUGGGUGAAGAAGGCCUUCGGGUUGUAAAGCCCUUUUGUUGGGAAAGAAAAGCAGCAGGUUAAUACCCCGCUGUUCUGACGGUACCCAAAGAAUAAGCACCGGCUAACUUCGUG